rnacentral:rRNA from 1 species
AGUGAACGCUGGCGGUAGGCCUAACACAUGCAAGUCGAACGGCAGCACAGGAGAGCUUGCUCUCUGGGUGGCGAGUGGCGGACGGGUGAGGAAUACAUCGGAAUCUACUCUGUCGUGGGGGAUAAAGUAGGGAAACUUACGCUAAUACCGCAUACGACCUACGGGUGAAAGCAGGGGAGCUUCGGACCUUGCGCGAUUGAAUGAGCCGAUGGCGGAUUAGCGAGUUGGCGGGGUAAAGGCCCACCAAGGCGUCGAUCCGUAGGUGGUCUGAGAGGAUGAUCAGCCACACUGGAACUGAGCCACGGUCCAGACUCCUGCGGGAGGCAGCAGUGGGGCAUAUUGGACAAUGGGCGCAAGCCUGAUCCAGCCAUACCGCGUGGGUGAAGAAGGCCUUCGGGUUGUAAAGCCCUUUUGUUGGGAAAGAAAUCCAGCUGGCUAAUACCCGGUUGGGAUGACGGUACCCAAAGAAUAAGCACCGGCUAACUUCGUGCCAGCAGCCGCCGUAA